CCUCCUUUGUUCCUCCUUUUUUCCUCUUUCCCCCUUUUGUCCCCCCUGCUGCCGCCACGCCGCGUGAAGGAAGACGGUUUUCGGAUUGUAAACUUCUGUUCUUAGUGAAGAAUAAUGACGGUAGCUAAGGAGCAAGCCACGGCUAACUACGUGCCAGCAGCCGCGGUAAUACGUAGGUGGCAAGCGUUGUCCGGAAUUACUGGGUGUAAAGGGAGCGCAGGCGGGAAGUCAAGUCAGCUGUGAAAACUACGGGCUUAACUUGUAGACUGCAGUUGAAACUGGUUUUCUUGAGUGAAGUAGAGGUUGGCGGAAUUCCGAGUGUAGCGGUGAAAUGCGUAGAUAUUCGGAGGAACACCGGUGGCGAAGGCGGCCAACUGGGCUUUAACUGACGCUGAGGCUCGAAAGUGUGGGGAGCAAACAGGAUUAGAUACCCGAGUAGUC
rnacentral:rRNA from 1 species